UACGAAGGUGGCAAGCGUUGUUCGGAUUUACUGGGCGUACAGGGAGCGUAGGCGGUUGGGUAAGCCCUUCGUGAAAUCUCCGGGCUUAACCCGGAAAGGUCAGCCGAUACUGCGGGGCUAGAGUGCAGGAGGGACACUGGAAUUCUCGGUGUAGCGGUGAAAUGCGUAGAUAUCGAGAGGAACACCUGCGGCGAAGGCGGGUUGCUGGGCUGACACUGACGCUGAUGCGCGAAAGCUAGGGGAGCGAACGGG
rnacentral:rRNA from 1 species